rnacentral:lncRNA from 1 species
UUGGUAUUUUUAGUAGAGAUAGGGUUUCGCCAUGUUGGCCAGGCUGCUCUUGAACUCCUGGCCUCAAGUGAUCUGCCUGCUUCGGCCUCCCAAAGUGCUGGGAUUACAGGCAUGAGCCACCACGCCUGGCCCAAAAAGUGAUUUUAGAAGACAGGUUGGUGCCUUAUGUUUCAAUCCUCAAAGCUACUCAGGUAGUAAGUCCUCCUCUCCAUCUCUUUAUUUGAACAAGAACUGUUUAGGGAAAACAUAUCGGCUUGAAAUGACCUUAGGCAGCUGAUUUCAGAAGUUCGUGGUGAUGGGCUUAGAAGACAUGCGUGGCACAGGAAGAGUGAUCCCGGUUCCACCUGGCCAUCCUCUUGUGUAAGUCUAGACAAGUGAGACCAAGAGGGGGCGCUGCCCCAGGGCAAAGCCACAGUGGAGAGUGGCCAAGCAGAAGGGCUCCUAUCUGCAGCCCGCCUAGGAGACCUUAACGUGGAUGGCACAAGCCACCCUUAUCGUUUAAGCCCUUGCAAGGCAAUUUUCUCCUUACUCUAAAGACAUACUAAUUGAUAAAUAUCUCUAUGUGAU